rnacentral:lncRNA from 1 species
UUUAAAAACACAUCUAAAACUAUAUUAUUUUUUUUGGGUUUCAUAUCUAAACGAUUGAAAGAGCGAGUUUCAUACCUAAACUAUCACUUUUUAGUUUGAGAAACACACUUCUCUCUUUUCAUGGUAUGUAAUAUACUCUCUCUUUUAUUUUAAAAAAUUGUCACAUCACACUCCAAAUGGACAAAAUAUUCAACCUUGACAAAAAUUAAAUGAAUUAUUAGUAUUAGCUCAAAUUAAAAAUUCAAAAAAUUAUUAUCCAAAAAAACAAUAUUUAUUUUAUAAAAUAAAAUGUAAAAUAUUUUUCUUACCCCACUCCAUCACUUCCUCUC